UACGUAGGGUGCAAGCGUUGUCCGGAAUUAUUGGGCGUAAAAGAGCUCGUAGGCGGUCUGUCGCGUCGGCUGUGAAAACUCGGGGCUCAACCCCGAGCCUGCAGUCGAUACGGGCAGACUAGAGUGCUGUAGGGGAGACUGGAAUUCUGGUGUAGCGGUGAAAUGCGCCAGAUAUCAGGAGGAACACCGGUGCGAAGGCGGGUCUCUGGGCAGUAA
rnacentral:rRNA from 1 species